UCUUUUAAAUUGAAGGAAAUCAUGAAAAGAAUUUUGUAUUUGGGAAAUACAUUAAAUCAAGGAACUGCUAGAGGUUCUGCAGUUGGUUUCAAGUUGGACAGCCUAUUGAAACUCACUGAUACACGAGCUUCUAACAGCAAGAUGACUUUAAAGUUUGAAACACUGCAGGCUGCUGUGAUAGAUAUUGUAGUGAUUGCAAUUCGUGAGUUGGGGUGUUCCAAGGGAAGCACUGAAGAAACAACGUUAGAGGCAACAAAAAAUCGAUGAGAAGGCAAAUAAAAACCCCAUCAUGAUUCCCAAGAUCCACCGGACCUCUUACACGUGUUAGCAGUUCACCAGAAAAGGCUUGAUUCUCAUAUAACCUGAAGGAUUUGUUGUAUGUUUGCAUAUCUUUAGCUUUCUCAUGCACCAAGGCAAGACGGGAAUUAGUCGUCUAAUAUUGAUCGAUAAGAUUUAGAUUUAUUGUUGAAUUUUAAAAUAUUAACAUGUACAAUAUCAAAUUUAAGUGCUUUCCACUACCCUCUUUUUUCACACUAGGUAAUUUUAAGUGCUUCCCUAUACCCUCUUUUUCACACUAGGUAAACCGUAGUUUGCAUAAUGUACCAUUUGUGGUUUAGAUGGCAAUGCAGAGCUUUAAAGUAGAAAUCAAAAUGUCCAGUUUUAA